rfam:Pelodiscus sinensis unplaced genomic scaffold scaffold429, whole genome shotgun sequence.
AUGGGUAUGUCUACACUACCCCGCUAGUUCGAACUAGCGGGGUAGUGUAGACAUACCCUAUUUCAAAAUAGUUUUUGUGUAGAGAUGCGUUAUUUCGAAUUACCUUAAUUCGAAUUAACUAUUUCAAAU